CCUACGGGAGGCAGCAGUGAGGAAUAUUGGUCAAUGGGCGGAAGCCUGAACCAGCCAAGUCGCGUGAGGGAAUAAGGCCCUACGGGUCGUAAACCUCUUUUGCCGGGGAGCAAGGGCGGGGACGUGUCCCGGCCCGGAGAGUACCCGGAGAAAAAGCAUCGGCUAACUCCGUGCCAGCAGCCGCGGUAAUACGUAGGGGGCAAGCGUUAUCCGGAUUUACUGGGUGUAAAGGGGGCGCAGACGGCAAUGCAAGCCAGGAGUGAAAGCCCGGGGCCCAACCCCGGGAC
rnacentral:rRNA from 1 species